AGCCUAUUAGCUCAAAAUGGCAGAGCAAUGUGUCAUGCACAUGGGUGUAGGUUCGACUCCUACAUAGGCUG
rnacentral:tRNA from 1 species